UACGUAGGGACCAAGCGUUGUUCGGAUUUACUGGGCGUAAAGGGCGCGUAGGCGGCUUGACAAGUCACUUGUGAAAUCUCCGGGCUUAACUCGGAACGGCCAAGUGAAACUGUCAUGCUAGAGUGCAGAAGGGGCAAUCGGAAUUCUUGGUGUAGCGGUGAAAUGCGUAGAUACCAAGAGGAACACCUGAGGUGAAGACGGGUUGCUGGGCUGACACUGACGCUGAGGCGCGAAAGCCAGGGGAGCAAACGGG
rnacentral:rRNA from 1 species